GGAAGGGUGGCUGAGUCCGGUUGAAGGCACUCGACUCGAAAUCGAGCGUGGGGUUAAACUCACCGUGGGUUCGAAUCCCACCCCUUCCGCCA
rnacentral:tRNA from 1 species